AAUACACUGGUUAAAUCAUGUUACUUGUGGGGUAGGUCUGUUGAUAAUUACAUUCAUGAAUGAGGCUAGUUCAGAGAGAGGCCAUGCCACCAUAAAUGAGUUGAAGAUCUCUUUUGACUUCUGGUCUUUGCUUUUGCUCACUUUCUGGUUGUGAUGCCUCUGUCCAUGCAAACGUGAUUAUUUUUUAUAAUGCACAGUGUUCUCUGCUAUUUAUGAAACACAAAAAGAAUACACAUUUUUAAUUAAUUAGUUGAUUAGUUAACCCAUAGACUUCACCAUGUGAUGAAAUGUUUACGUGCAUGCCGUUUAUAUGCAUGCUUGCCUGCUUUAUUUGUUUUGUCCAUGUUCUCUUCUGUGAAUUAUUUACAUCCUGCACUUCAUUAGAUAAAUGUUGAGAUCGCCUGUCUUUUUGUUUCAUUUCCUGUUCAUUGUAUUUGUAUUUUACAUCAGUUACACUUCGCAAAAGUAGAAAUAAUUCAUCAGUGUAUGGUCAUUUCUCAGAAACGCUCUGAAAGGAUGGAGCUUUUCACCAGGCAUUCUGUGAAGGCAGUCCAGCAGCAUGUGUCCUCCAUUGGAAUACAGAUACACCAGCACAGGUCAGUGUCCAGCCCUGCUGCUUCUGCACAGUGACGGCUGAUAGUAAGGUCUCUUUUCUCGCAGGGCUCAGAAGCUGGAACAUGUCAAACAGGUUCUGACAGAGGAACUUAGCAACUUGGAACAAGAUGACUUUAUCCUCCAGAAUAUGGAGAAAGAGCUGAUGAACUACUGGAAAAAGCAGGAGGUGGCCUUUCACUCAUACCACGAGGCAGAAGCCAGAAGACUACAGAGGCUGAAGAACACAUUCAACACUGACAUCUUCCAAAACCUAGAGUACGAGGAGGAGAUUUUCACUUCUGAGAUGAAUGUGAUGAAGAAUGACAUGAAGUCCAUACAGGAGCAGUUCCUUCAAGAAAUGCGAGACGAGGAGCUGCUGACCAUGCGCAGGGCACUGCAGGCCCUCUUCCUGUCUGAAGCCAACAGCUUCUGAUAUGCACUGGGAACCUUAUUUAAAAAAAUGUUCUACAUUUAAAGAAAUGUUCUGCAUUUAAAGAAAUGUUCAAUUUUAGCAUGUUUAGUCUUAUUCAACACAAACUCUGUUCAAAAUGUUCUAAGAAUGUGAAAUUUUAUAGAAAACAUUUCACAUAUGUGUUGAACGAGGUUUCAUCUUCAAGAUCUUCCAUUUAAAAUAAUGAAUGUAUAUGCAAUUAAAUGAAAAUAUUUAAUUAAAUAUAAAAACAAAAUUGUUAUAAUACAAUAUUAGUCAUGAUUUAAAAAAAACAUACAAAACAAAGGCAAAUUGAUUUGACCAUGACUAUUACACAAUGAACGUCUCACACAUCUUUUCAUUUCCAAUGGCAAACGGUUUCUGUUUAAUUAGAACAGACGCAAAAUACUUUCGAAAGGC
ensembl:lncRNA